GACGAACGCUGGCGGCGUGCCUAAUACAUGCAAGUAGAACGCUGAAGCUUGGUGCUUGCACCGAGCGGAUGAGUUGCGAACGGGUGAGUAACGCGUAGGUAACCUGCCUGGUAGCGGGGGAUAACUAUUGGAAACGAUAGCUAAUACCGCAUAAAAUGGAUUAGCGCAUGAUAAUCGAUUGAAAGGUGCAAAUGCAUCACUACCAGAUGGACCUGCGUUGUAUUAGCUAGUUGGUGGGGUAACGGCUCACCAAGGCGACGAUACAUAGCCGACCUGAGAGGGUGAUCGGCCACACUGGGACUGAGACACGGCCCAGACUCCUACGGGAGGCAGCAGUAGGGAAUCUUCGGCAAUGGACGGAAGUCUGACCGAGCAACGCCGCGUGAGUGAAGAAGGUUUUCGGAUCGUAAAGCUCUGUUGUAAGAGAAGAACGAGUGUGAGAGUGGAAAGUUCACACUGUGACGGUAUCUUACCAGAAAGGGACGGCUAACUACGUGCCAGCCGCCGCCGUAA
rnacentral:rRNA from 1 species